UCAAGUUUUGAAAUUAAAAAGUUUCUUACUUCUACUCUCAUCUUGCUCAGGCUUUCCUCAUUCUUAGAUUCUUCUUCUGUUGCUGUUCUUGCUGCUGCUUUGCGUUCUUCUAUUUCUUCUGUGAGGAGGUUUUGUUCCAUGAUCUGCAUGAGCCUUUCAAGAAGAACAUUGAUGGGCUUCAAGUCGCAAUGAAUUAUUGGAUUUUACAUUGCUCAUGAAGAUAUUGUAAAGCAGCCGCCACAUCAACCGCAACAUUUAAUCUCUUAAGCAGGUUUGAAUUUGUUGUUUGAUUUUUGCCAUCUAUAUCAGGAUGAAACCACUUCUCGAAGCUACCAUUUCCCAUGAUUUUUUUUUUUUUUUCAUUUUGUACUCAUCCGAUUUUUUUUGCAAAUUUUUUAUUUUGUUAAUUGGGUAAUAUUGAAACUUAUUUUCUUGAUGAGAUAAUAGGUUGCUUGUUAUUGAUUUAAUUGAUUGCUAGAAUUGAGAAUGACAAUUUUUUAUAGAAAUUAAGCAAAAAAUUCAAAUUUUUUAGAGGUGAUGUGCUCUGUUCUGCCUUGCACCAAAACUGAACUAUUGAACCGAAUUAUUAAUCUGGUUCGGUUCUUUAAUAAAAUCGGUUUCCCCUGUUUUCGUUUUUUUGAAAGCCAAAAGCUGCAAUCAGGUGUAAAGAGCAUUCUGAUGAAAAGCACUGAAAAGGUUUGAAGAUCGAAGCAAUUAUCUGCUACGGAACUAUAAAGUACAAGAUUGACAAUAAAGAGAGAUCAGAUGGAAUUUUGCGGGAUGGGGAAAGUGAUGCACCAAGGAUCCUAGCAAAUCCACUGGGGACUUCCAUUCAUCUCCUGGCAAACAACACAAGAAUGUUACCCAUCUAAUGUGAUUUUCAAAAUUAAAUAAAUGUAUAUGAUGUUUAGUACUA